rnacentral:rRNA from 1 species
AUGAUCACCACCAUGUCCUCCUCCUGCAGCGGCCUGGGCGGCGGCGGCGCGGCGGCCAACUCGAAGCGCAAGUCGCCUGAGCCGACGUCGGUGCUGUACAACCGGAGCCCCAGCCCGCCCACCUCCUCGUCCGCGCACUCCUCGGAGCCGCCGCCCAUCAGCGCCGAGGACUGGGACGCCGUGCUGCUCUCCUCCGGCGGCUGCGACCACGCCAUGGCCGCCGCCGCGCACGGCACCCGGGAGGACAGCUCCUUUCUGAGGUGGAUCAUGGACGCCGGGUACGCCGACGGCGACGGGGACGCCUUCGGCUUCAAGGGCCCCGCCCCCUUCGACCCCCCCUCCUUCCUGACCCCGCCGCCCCUCCACCCGCCGCCGGAGGAGGCCGCCUUCUCGCUCCCGCAGCUCCCGCCGCAGCUCUCCGUCCCGGCGCAACCGCAGCCGCAGCAGGGGCAGGUCCAUUUCCCCGUCUCCUCCGCCGCAGCGGGCGCCGUCCGAGAAGGAGAUCUCGAGCCCCAGGCGGCGGUGGACGAGCUGCUGGAGGCGGCGCGGCGCGCCGACGCCGGGGACCCCGCUGGCGCGCGCGAGAUAUUGGCGCGGCUCAAUCACCGGCUCCCCUCGCCGCCCGCCCCGCCGGGCCACCCUCCCCUGCUCCGCGCCGCCGCGCUGCUCCGGGACGCGCUCCUGCACCGCCUCCUCCCGCCCGCGGCCGGCGCCGGCGCAGGCUCCGUCCUCUCGCCGCUCGACGUCGCGCUCAAGCUCGCCGCGCACAAGGCGCUGGCGGACGCGUCGCCCACCGUCCAGUUCGCCGGGUUCACGGCCACGCAGGCCUUCCUCGACGCGCUGGGCGCCGGCGCGCGCCGCGUGCACGUCGUGGACCUGGACGUCGGCUUCGGGGGCCACUGGCCGCCGCUCAUGCAGGAGCUCGCGCACCACUGGCGCCGCACGGCCGCGCCGUCGACGCCGCCGCCGAGCCUGAAGGUGACGGCAUUGGUGUCGCCGGGGUCGAGGCACCCGCUGGAGCUCCACCUCACGCAGGAGAGCCUGGCGCGCUUCGCCGCGGAGCUGGGCAUCCCGUUCGAGUUCGCCGCCGUCGCCUUCGACCCCUCCAGCGCCUCGCCGCCGCCGGGCCUGUCCGCGGCGCCCGACGACGCCGUCGCCGUGCACAUCACGGUCGGCACCGAAACCUCCGGGCCGACACCAGCCUCCCUCCGCGUCGUGAGGCAGCUCCGCCCCGCCGUCGUCGUGUGCGUGGACCACGGCUGCGACCGCGCCGACCUGCCGCUCCCGAGCCACGCGCUGAACGUGCUCCGCUCCUGCGCCGCGCUGGUCGAGUCGCUGGACACGCCCGGCGCGUCGCUGGACGUGGCGGCCAAGGUGGAGCAGUUCAUCCUGCGGCCGAGGGCGGAGCGCCUGGUCGCCGGGGCCGGCGGCGAGAAGCUGCCCCCAUGGCGGUCCACGUUCGCGUCCGCCGGGCUCGCGCCGCUGCAGCUCAGCAAUGCGGCGGAGGCGCAGGCCGAGUGCCUGCUCCGGCGCACGGCCAACCAUGGCUUCCACGUCGAGAAGCACCAAUCAGCGCUGGCGCUCUGGUGGCAGCGGUCGGAGCUCGUGUCAGUGUCGGCAUGGCGGUGCUGA